CUACGGGGUGCUGCAGUGAGGAAUAUUGCACAAUGGGGGGAACCCUGAUGCAGCAACGCCGCGUGGAGGAUGACGCAUUUCGGUGUGUAAACUCCUUUUAUAUGUCAAGAAAAUGACGGUAGCAUAUGAAUAAGCACCGGCUAACUCCGUGCCAGCAGCCGCGGUAAUAGGAGGGUGCAAGCGUUACUCGGAAUCACUGGGCGUAAAGGACGCGUAGGCGGGUUGGAAAGUCAGGUGUGAAAUCCCACAGCUUAACUGUAGAACUGCACUUGAAACUUCUAAUCUAGAGUAUGGGAGGGGGAGAUGGAAUUAGUGGUGUAGGGGUAAAAUCCGUAGAUAUCACUAGGAAUACCUAAAGCGAAGGCGAUCUCCUGGAACAUUACUGACGCUAAGGCGUGAAAGCGUGGGGAGCAAACAGGAUUAGAUACCCCAGUAGUC
rnacentral:rRNA from 1 species